UCCUUGUUUUAUCACUUCAUCUGUAGUUUUGUUUUCCUUUUAAACCCAAGAGUUAUUUAGAAGUAUUUAUAUACUUCAGCAUGGGCAAGUUUUAUUUGAUGUUUUUUUCUAUCCUUUUCCCCCCCUUGUUACUACUUACACUGUCUCAUGGAUGGAUGAUGUUUCCUGCGUGGAUUAUACAUUUUGGAAUGUUUUUGGGUCCUAAUGUAAUAAACAUUACAUAUAAACUUUUAUAACUAUUCCAUGGGCAAUUAAAGCAAAUGUAUUUUUUUGUUUGGGUAAUAUUAUAUCAUAUUUCUACAUAUUAAAUCAAACUUGUUACUAAGCUCUUCCUUCUUUUAUCUGCUUGAUCUAAAUCUUUGAUGCAAGUAUGUAAAACCCCCCUCUUAUUUUAUCAUAGUCUCUUAUAUCUAGCCUUUUUUUGCUUUACAUACUUGAAGUUCUUUUUCAGUGCAUUAAAUUUCAUGGUUAUCUUAUUGGAUUGUGUUAAUUCACAACAUAAAGAUAUCUUUGAUGCUUUUUGCCUUGAUGUUCCUUUGCCACCUUUACUUGGUUUUUGUUACAUUUGUCUGCUGGAUCUUUAUCCAUUUCAGUAUUUUCAGUUUUUCUGUGUUGUUUGGUUUUAGGUGUAUCUUUUCAAAACAGUACAAGAUAAGUUCUUUUUUUUUCUUUUGGAAUGUCUGCCUUUUAGUUCAUAAUUAAAUCUUUCACAUUUCUUACAAUUCUGUAAUAUUUAUUUCUAAUUCCGUCAUUUUUAUUGUUUUCUCUUCUUGCUAGAUUUGUGAAAGUGCAUGUCCUUUUUUUUUGGGGGGGGUUGCAUGUCCUUUCCUAUAGUGGUUUAGGACUUUGAAAUAUCCUUCUUUUUUUUUUAAAGUAAGUUCCAUGUGGGGCUUGAGCUCACAACCCCAAGAUCAAGACCUGAGCUGAGAUCAAGAGUUGGACGCUUAACUGACUGAUCCACACAGGCGCCCCUGAAAUAUCACUUCUAAUAGUGGUUGCAUAUAUACAUAUAAUAUAAUUCUGCCCCCAGAGUUCCUAGAAGGCAGUACAUCUGCAAGCAAUAUUUUCCUCAUGAGAUGGAGUUCUGCUGGAUCAACAAAGCUGAAUUCUUGAUGAACCACUGCUCCCUUGUCUAGACUUCAAAAUAUUUUUGGUUGCUUACACUGUACUGUUUCUAUUUCAUGACCUUAACUUAAUAGUUUAUUGAGACAAUAUGUUUUCCUGGUUUCCUGGUUAGCGCCGAGUCUUGUCCCUUCUUGUAUGCAUUUCUUAUUUUUAGUGAAUAAAACAUGUUUUGCCCCCCUA